UCUUCUCCAAGUCUUUUUCCUCUUAGGUAUGGAGUAGUGCAAUGACAAAAGAAGUAUGAGUUUAAUUGGCCUUGUUUCUCACUUGGCGGUAGAGUCGGACGAGCGGCCGACGGUAGCGACGACGACGAUACAAACAGUCGGCGACAACGACGAGCGUAUGACGACGACGGCGGCAAGCGAACGGCCGACAGCGACGAUGGCAAGCGGACGGCUGGCGGCGACGAAGCGAUGGUGUGUACGUAUGGAAGCAAUGGCUGGCUGGAUGAUGGGCAACAAUGUGUUGAAUGAAUCACCACUCAAG
rnacentral:lncRNA from 1 species